UAUUUUCAUUCAAAGAGAACAGUAAUGACAGCUUCCAACAAUCAAACUGAAUAUUUUAGUAGAAGCUUUUCUAGACAUUUGUGUUGGGAUAACUAAUGGAACUAAUAUAGCUACAUGAAACUGCUUCUUUUAUAUUAUCAUAAAUAACAAAUAUAUCUUCUGCCAUAUUUAGUUCUUUAUUCAAUUCGAGAUAAACAUAUUUUGUCUAAAGGUUUUAUUGGCAUUUGGAAGAAACUCAAAGUCUGUACUCAAUUAAGAUCUGUAAACAGAAGCCAGAUCAAAUCACAGA
rnacentral:lncRNA from 1 species